GUAGGGAAUAUUGGGCAAUGGAUGCAAGUCUGACCCAGCCAUCCCGCGUGCCGGAAGAAGGCCCUCAGGGUUGUAAACGGCUUUUGACGGUGAAGAAUCGACAGGAUGCGUCCUGUUUUGACGGUAGCCGUUGAAUAAGCACCGGCUAACUCCGUGCCAGCAGCCGCGGUAAUACGGAGGGUGCGAGCGUUGUCCGGAUUUAUUGGGUUUAAAGGGUGCGUAGGCUGGAAGGUCAGUCAGCGGUGAAAAGCUGUCGCUUAACGAUAGUCUUGCCGCAGAUACUUCCUUUCUUGGAUGAGGAUGAGGCCACUGGAACGGAUGGUGUAGCGGUGAAAUGCAUAGAUAUCAUCCAGAACACCGAUUGCGAAGGCAGGUGGCUGUACCUUAAUCGACGCUGAUGCACGAAAGCAUGGGGAGCAAACAGGAUUAGAAACCCUAGUAGUCC
rnacentral:rRNA from 1 species